GUAGGGGGCUAUGCCCCCGAAAGGAUGUAGACCAGCCAGAAUUGCAGCCCGUUGGAAGAUGAAUCACUGAGGGCGCUUCUCCUGCCAGACCCGGCAGGCGUGGUGCCCCAAGUGACUUCUUAUGCAAAUGAAGCUGCAUGAAUGGCUGGCAUACUCUAGUUCUGUAACCCUUGUAUAUGAGUACUCCUGUUUCCUCGGCAAGCUUGCUUGCCAAUGGGGACCUUAUUAAACCUUUUUAUGUUGUUGUAACCGUAACCAAACAAAUAAUCAAAACUUUCAACAACGGAUCUCUUGGUUCU
rnacentral:misc_RNA from 1 species